GAUGAAGAACGCAGCGAAAUGCGAUACGUAAUGUGAAUUGCAGAAUUCAGUGAAUCAUCGAAUCUUUGAACGCAUAUUGCGCUCUCUGGUAUUCCGGAGAGCAUGCUUGUUUGAGUAUCAGUAAACACCUCAACUUCCAUAUCUUUUUUGAAAUGGGAGUUGGACUUGAGUGAUCCCAACGCUUCUCCUCACCGAAAAGUGGCGGGUUACUUGAAAUGCAGGUGCAGCUGGACUUUUCUCUGAGCUAUAAGCAUAUCUAUUUAGUCUGCCUAAAAAACAGAUUAUUACCUUUGCUGCAGCUAACAUAAAGGAGAUUAGUUCUUGUGCUGACUGAUGCAGGAUUCACAAAGACAGGCUUCGGCCGACUUUGUAAACUCGAUCUCAAAUCAAGUAAGACUACCCGCUGAACUUAAGCAUAUCAAUAAGCGGAGGA
rnacentral:misc_RNA from 1 species